rnacentral:tRNA from 1 species
GCCGACGUGGCUCGAGUUAGAAAGGCACCACUCUUGUAAAGUGGCUCAUGCUGGUGCGAACCCAGUCGUCGGCU